UACGGGAGGGGGCAAGCGUUGUUCGGAAUUCCUGGGCGUAAAGGGCGCGUAGGCGGUGCUCUAAGUCGGAUGUGAAAACUCUGGGCUCAACCCAGAGCCUGCAUCCGAAACUGGAGUGCUAGAGUUCUGGAGGGGGUAGCGGAAUUCCUGGUGUAGCGGUGAAAUGCGUAGAUAUCAGGAGGAACACCGGUGGCGAAGGCGGCUACCUGGACAGAAACUGACGCUGAGGCGCGAAAGCUAGGGGAGCAAACAGG
rnacentral:rRNA from 1 species